CCGACCCGCACGAAAGGCGUAACGAUUUGGGCACUGUCUCAACGAGAGACUCGGUGAAAUCAUAGUACCUGUGAAGAUGCAGGUUACCCGCGACAGGACGGAAAGACCCCGUGGAGCUUUACUGUAGCCUGAUAUUGAAAUUCGGCACAGCUUGUACAGGAUAGGUAGGAGCCUUUGAAACGUGAGCGCUAGCUUACGUGGAGGCGCUGGUGGGAUACUACCCUAGCUGUGUUGGCUUUCUAACCCGCACCACUUAUCGUGGUGGGAGACAGUGUCAGGCGGGCAGUUUGACUGGGGCGGUCGCCUCCUAAAAGGUAACGGAGGCGCUCAAAGGUUCCCUCAGAAUGGUUGGAAAUCAUUCAUAGAGUGUAAAGGCAUAAGGGAGCUUGACUGCGAGACCUACAAGUCGAGCAGGGUCGAAAGACGGACUUAGUGAUCCGGUGGUUCCGCAUGGAAGGGCCAUCGCUCAACGGAUAAAAGCUACCCCGGGGAUAACAGGCUUAUCUCCCCCAAGAGUUCACAUCGACGGGGAGGUUUGGCACCUCGAUGUCGGCUCAUCGCAUCCUGGGGCUGUAGUCGGUCCCAAGGGUUGGGCUGUUCGCCCAUUAAAGCGGUACGCGAGCUGGGUUCAGAACGUCGUGAGACAGUUCGGUCCCUAUCCGUCGUGGGCGUAGGAAAUUUGAGAGGAGCUGUCCUUAGUACGAGAGGACCGGGAUGGACAUACCUCUGGUGUACCAGUUGUCGUGCCAACGGCAUAGCUGGGUAGCUAUGUGUGGACGGGAUAAGUGCUGAAAGCAUCUAAGCAUGAAGCCCCCCUCAAGAUGAGAUUUCCCAACUUCGGUUAUAAGAUCCCUCAAAGAUGAUGAGGUUAAUAGGUUCGAGGUGGAAGCAUGGUGACAUGUGGAGCUGACGAAUACUAAUCGAUCGAAGACUUAAUCAAAA
rnacentral:rRNA from 1 species